CGGCAGUCACAGCCGCUUUCAAAGAGUAAGAAAGUGAAAGCUUUGGACUUUGGAGUCAUCUGUAAUCUAACAUCGGUCACCAGAGGACUGAGGAGACAGGGGGAGUCCGUUGAACACCACAAAGAAUCAUCUGGAGGUUCUGGAGAGCAGGUUCUCCACGAAGACAACCAUGGAGGGAAACCGGAUUACCACUGCUGGGACCCAAACCAGAGCCGGUUCAGCAACGGACCUCCAGGUUUUGACCCACAGGGUGGGGCUACUGGAACACAGCGUGAGAGACAAUGUCAGCUCCUUUGCAGAGUCUGAGAGCGUCCUGCACAACAGGAUCAGAGAGCUGGAGGUGUCAGAGAAGAGCCUGCUACAGAAAGUGGAGGAGCUCACCGCCAACUCAAUCCUCCGCUGUCCCAGCAUGCAGCAGCGCCAGAGGCUGGACGAGCGGCUCCAUGCGCUCAGGGAGGAGGUGCGGUCUGUGUCCCAGGAGAAGGAGCGCGGUGAACGUGUUUGGAGAGACAGGCUACAGCGAUGCCAGGCACUACUCAGGGCCAAAGAAGAAGAGAUGGGCCACCAGUCGCAGUACUUUGAACGCUUUAAAAGCCAGUUACAGCAGAAGCUUGACCUGGCCAGAGACCGAGAGCAAAGCCUGCAGACCAGAGUCCGCCAACUGGAGAAUCAGGUCCUGGAGAUGACUGGGUCUGAAACCACCAACAUAACCAGAGUUAAUGCAGCCUGCCUCAACACUGCUACUGCAGCCAAUGUCAGCAGUGUCAUGGCAACCACCUCAGCUCAACAUAGGGCAGAGAUGGACUCAGAGAGACUGCCCCACCCAAGAGAGGAAGGAGAGGGAGAGGAGGAGGACAGGGAGGAGACGACACUGUGGAGACACUAUGCACAGCAGCUCCAGCAGAAACCGGGGGAUGAUGAUGAUGGAGAGAUAGAGGGUGAAGGAGAGGCUGAAAGUCCAGGAGCUGGGGCCAAACUGAG
ensembl:lncRNA